rnacentral:lncRNA from 1 species
UGGAGAUGGAGGCUGAAAACCUGAGGGCGGACACAAGCAUCUGCUCUGCCCUCCCCAACGGCUCAGAUGAACAACGUGCACGAGGCAUCUCCGCUGCUGGCCCUUCCUCGAGAAACGGGAGGGCGCCCUCCAGUACCGAACAACCGAGCUCUGGCUUUACGACCGCUCAGAAAACGAGCAAGGCGCAACGCGGAUGCUGCCUCCGACAAGAGCAGCCGCACAGUGCCGUUGAAGGCAGAAGCGCGAGGCUUGGCUGCGUAACGCCACGCAAGGCGUGCGUGUUCUUAAAUCCGGACGGGUUACCCUCAGCCGGCGGCUUUCUAAAGCACAGGGGCAUGUUGGCGGUAGGGCUUCAGAGCAGGGUCUUCAGAUGUGGGACAAACCCCUUUGGAGGAACGUCAGCCCUUGCCACCUCUGCAGCGCUCCUGAGCGUUUUCAAGUACUCUGCCCUCCACAUCCGCGCAAUCCAGACAGGAAGCGAUGUUGAUGCCAG